rnacentral:rRNA from 1 species
UACAGGGGGGGCAAGCGUUGUUCGGAAUUACUGGGCGUAAAGGGCUCGUAGGCGGCCAACUAAGUCACACGUGAAAUCCCCAGGCUUAACCUGGGAACUGCGUGUGAUACUGGAUGGCUUGAAUUCGGGAGAGGGAUGCAGAAUUCCAGGUGUAGCGGUGAAAUGCGUAGAUAUCUGGAGGAAUACCGGUGGCGAAGGCGGCAUCCUGGACCGACAUUGACGCUGAGGAGCGAAAGCUAGGGGAGCAAACAGG